ensembl:lncRNA
UCUAUGAUUCUAUGGAGAUGAUAAAACUUUCUUAUAGAGUCCUCAAAAUUGUCUUUACAAAAAGGCUGAAUAAAGGUAUUGAAUUUAAUACUCGCAAUUUUUAUACUGAAAGUUCAGUAAUAACAGAAACAAAGGGGAAGAGGACCAGAGCACAAAGAAGGCAACCAAAAGUCAAGGUUCUUAUGGGAAGGAAAAACUAAAACAUUGAUGUUUCAGAGCCAGGGGCCUCAAACUGUUCACACUGCAAGGAGUUUUGUGAACAGCAGCAAAGCAAGUUCAGGGCAGGCUACACCUCCAUUAUGCUCCAUCACCUGGAAUACAGCCACAGCCCCAAAGAAAAUCAAGAAAGGCUGCGUGGCUUUUACUGCUGAUGGAACCAAACUUUCCAAAUACACAUCAAGGGCUCAAUAUGAUUCCGCUGAACUUCUCCCAGCGACCCACAGUUCAAACAAAGACCUCGAGUCAAGAGUGCCACAGCACAGGGAACGCUGCCAGGCCCAGCGGAGCACUCACCACUUCACUCCCAAACAGGCUUGUACCUACUGGCAACCCAGCCAUGGCCAGCUCAUGAUCUUGGACCCCUGCCUACUUCCCUCAAAGCAGGCAAAGGCCAUCGAGUUCAUAUUGGGCUUGAAAUUAAUGAUUGCGAUAACAUAACGAAUGGCGCGGGCAGGGGAGAUGAUUGCUGCUUUGGAGAGGGAGCACCAAGAUGACUGCAAACUCUGCCCCUUGACUCUGCCUCGGUGAGGAGGGGAGAGGAAGACGCCAAGCGGAUGGAGCAGCAGAACACACACAGGAUUCGCUCCAGCCGUGUGCGAAUUCCAGUACGAGGCAGAGGCUCUGCUCGAGGUCAGAGGAAAGCCACGAGAUAUCAAUCCAUCUACAGAAAAAUAAAACCAACUACUCCACUGAUGUUAAUUCUGGGGAAAGGGGUUGGAAGAACACCAGGGAAUGACAUCCUCAAUAUGUCUGGAGAGCAGUUCCUGAAUAGCUUUCCUUUCAGAGCAAGAUCAGUGGCCUUCCCCAGAGAUGAAUGAGAAACAUCAGAGCUGAUGGGGGUGGCUCACCCCCUCUGCUCACACACUCCUUGACUUCUUUCCUGAGAUUAAAAUGAAGAAUCGCAUGGCAACUCUGAUAAGUGUGUUCCUUGUGCUGCCUUAUUUGCUGAUGGCAACAUGCAAGAAGCUCAGCUGCUGGAGCUUGCUGUAAUUCCAGGAAGGCAGGUUCUGCCUGUUUGUGUAUUUAUUUAUUUAUUUUUGCUACCAGGCCACUCCAAUUUAUUACUUACCAUAUAGCAGUGUGGGAGACUUCUGGGAGCCAUCUGACAUGUGUACACCUUCCACUUCACCUUGUUGAGCACUGUAAGAAUGGGAAAGGGUAUCAGAAAAUAACUCAUUCUCAUACUUAAUGGAAUUGUCACAUCUACUGAUAUGAACAACCCUGUGCCUGAUCAUUCAGUCCUGGCUGCUGUUUCAACCAUGUUCCACUGACACCCCUCAGUUACAUGGGAGCACCACCACAGCUGUGCUUUUGUGUGCAGCUGUGGUUAUUGAUGCUUGUGCAGAGGUUUGUGAUUAAGGCCUGGAGAAUUUCUCUCUAGAAAACAAAAAUCAGACAUUUGGAGAUAUUUCUGAAAAGGUAAUUUGAUUUUACAUUUUCCCCAUCUUUAAAAGUAAGUUAUCUCUGCUGAUAUAUGUCUUUUAAUCAGAGAAGCACUGUUACCUUUCUUACUGUUUAUCACUUACCAGGGCUGAAUUUGAACUGAUGAGAACAGGAUACAGUGUUUGAUAUCAGCUUACAGUACAGUUGAAAGAUCAGCUGCCAAAAUGAUCUGCAUAUGCACACUUGAUUUGAUGAGCUCACAUCUUUCAGUUCAGAGAAGGGUAGUGCCUAUUUGUCAUUAUUAUUUUGCAGAUUGCGUAGAACUGUCACGUGUUUUGCUUUAUUUCAGCAGUACUUGAAUAAUGGUAAUGCCUGACUUGAUAAAAGGUGACUCGUUCAAUAUUAACAUUAUCUAGACAGCAUUUCCAGUAAGCAUCCUGACCCACUCUCUGUUUUGUAUUGAGAACAUUUGCUUUUUCCCCAGGAAAAAAAACCAAAUCCUUAUGAAAAUAAUGAUUUCUGCAAAAUGUUUUGAUUUACAAGUUUCAUUUCAUAGAAAUGUGCACAUAUGAAAGAUAAACGCAUUGAAAUGAAUAUAGCUAUAUUGAAAUGAAUGUAGUUAAGAGUAAUAGAGCAAGAAUCAGGAAAUACCCUGAGAGCUGCACACAGGCAUUACUGUGGUCUUUCAGGAAACACAGGGAGAAGUUACAGAAGUGACUUCAAAACUGACACCACUUUAUAGAGAAUAAUCCAAUUUUUGCAGAUCUCAACCAGCCUAAAGGAGCGAGGGUGUAUGUAGCAGUCAGUUAUAAAGCAUUAUAAAGCAGUCAUAAAGCAUUUCUGGUAGUACGGAACUGUUUUGUGUGGUAGAUAUUGUUUUAUUGCAUUGAUUUACUUCAUUUAGUUAGCUCUCCUGCUAAAGAGAAAUCACUUUGUGUGUUGAAAUCCUUCAACAAUGUUUAAAUAUAGACCAGAAUUCUGGCCUUGCUGAAUCCAAUGGCAGAUUCCCAAACUAGAUUAUAAUAGGACAAAUAUAUCAUUUACAGAUGGAAAAUAAAAUCCAUUCAGCCUUUAGCAAGCUGAAAAGCUCCUCUGUUUUGUGUCUGACAUUUUUAUGGAGCUGGAAGAUAAAAACCUGAGAAGGAUAACGGUAAAUCAUAUAUAUCCUGUGUGGCAGAGCAACAAGCAAAGCCUGUGAGCUCUGGACUAUGUGUGAGGCUCAGGGCAGUGCAGGUGAUGCCUACCCUCCUCACUGCCUGGGUCCCAACGUCUCACUGGGGUCCUGCAGGAGACCAGGGGUGCAGCAAUUGAAGAUUGCUCUACAGCUAUUCGACAUAUGCUCUCUGAAGCAAGGGAGGGGAAUUGCCCAAUUUACACCAAUGGACGGAGCAUCAGCAAGAUCAGUGAUCAUAACCAGAGUGAAACCUAGUGAUCUGUGGUGUUGGCUCCCUAGGAGGUGUUUGGAAAUACCAUUCCACAGAAGUUCUGCAUAGCAGGUCUAGGCAUGGCUUUCAGCAUCACAGCUUUGGUAACUUGAGUAGCUGCUGGGGAAGAGAAGGGCAGAAAAGUGUAUUUGGGAGGGGAGAAGCAGCCUGGAUGAACCAUCUCAUUUCCUAGUGAGAGCCAUGGGUGUUCAACCUUUUGGUUUGUCUGGAUUGCACUGAGUGAAGAAGAAUUGUCUUGGGCCACAUAUGUGUAGACUGGUCUGGAAGUAAUGGCACUUAUUUAUCUCCAUGGAAACUAUAACAGAUACAAGGAGAAAAAUAACAUUAUUCGAUAGAGCAAAUUCUCAGCUACAAAACAUUGUUUUUCAUCAUAGUCACUACUGUUAGCUCUGCAUUUCUGCCAGCAAUGAACAACAGCUGCAUGCUGCGCUCGUAAACAUCUAUACCAGAGGUGAGCCUCUGUCACCACUGCUGAAAUACAUCACUUGUUGCCUCACUGUGCUCACACCCACUGUUUGGUCUCCAUCAGCGUUCAGAAAGUGUCAACAAAUGUCAGUGGGUGCCAUAUUUUCUGCAUGGAGGAAUUCAGUGACACACCUUCACGAGCACUUUCACGUUGGAUGCCAUUGUGUCAGACUGCCCCUCUGAUGCCAUCUGCCACACAGCAACAAAACAUAAUGGGAUACUGGUGAGAAGGUUCAGCCUCUUCUGCCAUAUGACCAACAUCUGCCUUUGGCACUGUGGGUAAGUAUCAGAACAUUGGAGGCAUUGCUUUUGGAGCACUCUCCAUAAAGUAUAUAAUAUAGCUAAUGUGCUUCAUCCUUGAAAAUGGUUGUUCACAAAUGUAUGUACUGCCAAAAAAAGGUGAUGUGAAUAAGGUGAGACUGUGAAGUGAGGGGUAUUCCUCUUUCGUAAGAGAGGGCUUAUGGAUGUCUGGUAAAGAGAUACGAUUGCAUAUUUCUUGAGUUGAAUGUCUGAUUGCAACUUGAUACAUUCCAUUUGAAAAUUCACAACUGAAAAUAGAAUUACAAAUAUACCAAAAAACUGAUCACCUUUUUUCAGCUAUCUUGAAACCUGCUCUCAAACGCAGCCCACGGGCAGAGGGUUGGCCAUGCCUGUAAGUCAGCAGUCUUCUGCAGCACUCUGCCUUCUUACAGUCCCCUCUCAGCAUCAACGCGCAGGCUGGGCGUUCAGAGAGAAAAAGCUUUUGAGCACGUUGAGUAGAAAACAUGUUACUGAAAUAGCACUGGAGGUCACAGAAAAAGCAGUCUGUAAGCUAACCAGACUGCCCUGUUGCAAAGGCUUUCAGGUUUUCGUAGCACUGACCAAGGUACCGCUGGAGAGUGGGGUCUGUGGAGCUCAUUGUGAGCAGCUUGGCAGUGCCGUGCGGUUUCUGGCAGCUGGACAAAAUGCUUGCGGUUGGCAGGCCUCUCGCAAAGCCAUGGAAGGAAAGGAUAUAAAAAGAACACUGUUUCUGGAUUAACCAGAGGGACGGGCUGCACUGGCCGGUCACCACACAGUGCAGGAAGGAGCGGGCUGAGCUCCCUCAUUCACCACAUCCGCUGCUUCUGUGGAGCCAGAAGGAGGCAAUCAGGGGCUGCUACCAGAACAGAAGGCCUACAUGAAUCUUCCAAAGUAGCUGAUGUGACGUGAGACUCGUUUGGAAAGUGCUUUUCGUUUUAUAUACAGCUCAGCAACAGCAGCUUUUACUUUAAUCUUCUCAUUUCAUAGUGCCUGGGGUAAAAAAAAAAACAAACAACAAAAAAAAACCAAACCAGCCUCAGCCGAGUGCAGCUUCAGUUUAAACAGAUUGUAUGGCAGCUCUAUUGGGUAUUUAGGUCCAGUUAAUUCCUUAUAACAUGAGAAAAUUUCUAGUGACAUCUGGAUUCCCUUUUUCCUCCUCCAGGCACACUCAGUCUGUGCUCUCACCAUGAAAGUUCAGAGCAGGUUGAAAUAUCACCUGCAGGAGUAAUUUUUGGUUGAAAAAAUAAAAGGGUUUUUUUAAUGCCAACCGUUACUGGAACAGGCUGCCCACGGAGGUGGUGGAGUCACUGACCCUGGAGGCGUUCAAGAACUGUGUGGGUGUGGCACUGAGGGACAUGGUUAGUGGGAAUGGUGGGGGUGGGCUAACAGUUGGACUUAAUGAUCUUAGAGGUAGGUCUUUUCCAGCCUUAAUGAUUCUAUGAACCUACAAUCAAUUAAUGGCAGCCCAGAUCCUCAUCUCAAGAACUCCAGUCUCUAUACUGUUUCUUUAAUGAACGUUAGAAGCAAGGCUUGUUUUUUCAUUACUGAAUAAAGCAGAGCUCUAUUAGGCUUUUGGAUUGAUCUUGUUUCCCAGCCUUCUUAUUUGUAAUGUUUUUUUGACAGAUGUGCUCAGGCUAUUCUCGUUGUGAGAAGAAACAGGGAACAGCAUCAGAUGAACUUGUUGUCAGGUUAUUAUUUGUCAACAAGAUCAAGCAAAGCCCUGCUCUCCUGGAGAAAUCGAAUUUCCCUACCAGCCAGGCUGAAUACUUCCAGCCAGUAUCCUGCCACUUCCCAGCAGACCUGUUCUUAGGUUCACAAAAGUUCCUUCGGUCUCCAUCAAACUCUUUCAUAUACUCAUGAGGCAUACUUACACAUCCCAUUCCCCAAAUAAUAUUCAGAUUUAAAAAAAAAAAUCUAUCCAAAGCAUGAAAUUACAUCAGUGGUGUGUAGCGAUAGGACAAGGAGUAAUGGCCUAAAAACUUGAACAUAGGGAGUUCCAUACAAACAUGCAGAAGAACUUCUCUACAGUAAGAAUGAUGGAAGACUGGAACAGGCUGCCCAGAGAGGUUGUGGAGUCUCCUUUUAUGGAGAUAUUCAGGACCCAUCUGGAUGCCUACCUGUGUGACCUACUGUAGGGUACCUCCUUUGGCAGGGGGUUACACUUGAUAUCUCUUAAGGUUCCUUUCAACCCCUGUGAUUCUAUGAUUCCCAAGUAUUUGUCUUUAGUGACUUUUAGAAAAAAGGCCUCUUCUCUGCUCUGUACAUCCCUGCUAAUGAGCACAAGCAUCAAGAAGUAGAGCAGUGGCCAUGCUACUUGCCCAACUGAUUGCUAUUGCUAAUGAACCACCCUGAUUAAAAGCUGUUCUCGUCAGUCCAUAGUGGUGUUCUGAAGGGAGAUCCUGUAGUAAAUGAGAUCAUCAGUGAAAUGAUCAUUAGUGUGUGUAGAUUGUUAAAACCUUCAUGAAAACUGCUAUAAUGAAGCUAGAGUUGAAAGUACUUUUAAUUAAUUUUGGGUCAAAUAAUCCUUGGGAUGUGAAAGUGAUCUGUCACUAUCCCCCCAAAAUUACACAUCGAAGAAAAGAGCAAGAGGAAUGUCAGGACUGAUUAGAUAACAACUGGAUGGAGGUAAUUAGUUGCUCAACUUCCAAGGAAAAGGUGGCAGAGAGCUCUGUGAAUGUGAGCGUGCAGAAGGCACACAAACAGCCCACGGCCUGCCUCUGCUCAGGGUCCCACAGACCUGAUGGUUCAGGGCAAUGUGAGUGCCAUUUUGGGUGCCAGGUGACUCCCAGGGACUUGGAUUGCCACCAGCCCCUUCCAUUGACAAAAGAGAGCUAGGCAAAAGAGGCAGCUAAUGAGUUCCAUAGGAGUGUAAGGGAGAGACAUACAAAGAGCAGAGACUAAUACUGACCUUACAUUCCUCCAGUUUAGCCAACACAGUCCCACCUUUGCCAUGUGGGUGGCAUGUGAUGAGUUGGUGUGGGCUCCAGAAAAGCUCCUUGAGCACCACAUAUGUCUGAGAUCUGAGGGAAGUGUAAUUAAAAGCACAGAUUUUGACACAUCUGAAGGAAACAGGUAAUUGUAUGUGCUGAGAUCACCCCUGGGUUACGACAGAGGAGCCUACUAGCCUGCAUGAAUGAUCAGCAGAGCAUUGUACUGAAGAAUGAGAAAACAGUGUGUGAGUCCCCUUGCCUCAAAGGAGGCACCUCUAUCCUGCAGUCCUUUACUCAGGUAACCAAUCAGUCCUUCCAGUUCUGCAGAACAGCAGGAAUGGCAAGGAACUGGCCUUGCACUAAUUAUCUGGAUAUGUUAACACAUUCCCUGCCAUGACUUGGUAUUGAAGGAAGCCUUUAAGACCUUCAGAACUGCAUCUAUGUACCAGAUGCUUGGUUAAUGAGGCCUUCAAGAAACCCAGCUAACAGUCAUUAAACAGAAAACACAAGAUUAACAUUUAAGAGCAUCAAUUACUGAUUUACUACUUUAACAAGCUGUUAAUAAAUCAGAAAUUCCCAAUGCUUUUCUCUGUGUUGUUUUUUUUUUUUUUU